rnacentral:rRNA from 1 species
AACGAACGCUGGCGGCAGGCCUAACACAUGCAAGUCGAGCGCCCCGCUCGGGGAGCGGCGGACGGGUGAGUAACGCGUGGGGAUAUGCCCCUUGCUACGGGAUAGACUCCGGAAACUCGGGGUAUUACCGUAUACGCCCUUUGGGGGAAAGAUUUUUGUGCCAAGUAUUAGCCCGCGUUGGAUUAGGUAGUUGGUGGGGUAAUGGCCUACCAAGCCGACGAUCCAUAGCUGGUUUGAGAGGAUGAUCAGCCACACUGGGACUGAGACACGGCCCAAACUCCUACGGGAGGCAGCAGUGGGGAAUCUUAGACAAUGGGGGCAACCCUGAUGUAGCCAUGCCGCGUGAAUGAUGAAGGCCUUAGGAUUGUAAAACUCUUUCAGCUGGGAAGAUAAUGACGGUACCAGCAGAAGAAGCCCCGGCUAACUCCGUG